rnacentral:rRNA from 1 species
UACGUAGGGGGCAAGCGUUGUCCGGAUUUAUUGGGCGUAAAGAGCGUGUAGGCGGUUAGGUAGGUCCGUUGUGAAAACUCGAGGCUCAACCUCGAGACGCCGAUGGAAACCAUCUGACUAGAGUCCGGAAGAGGAGAGUGGAAUUCCCGGUGUAGCGGUGAAAUGCGCAGAUAUCGGGAGGAACACCAAUGGCGAAGGCAGCUCGCUGGGACGGUACUGACGCUGAGGCGCGAAAGCGUGGGGAGCAAACAGG